UACGUAGGGGGCAAGCGUUGUCCGGAUUUACUGGGCGUAAAGAGCGUGUAGGCGGCCAAACAGGUCCGUUGUGAAAACUGGAGGCUUAACCUCCAGACGUCGAUGGAAACCGUAUGGCUAGAGUCCGGAAGAGGAGAGUGGAAUUCCUGGUGUAGCGGUGAAAUGCGCAGAUAUCAGGAAGAACACCCGUGGCGAAGGCGGCUCUCUGGGACGGUACUGACGCUGAGACGCGAAAGCGUGGGGAGCGAACAGG
rnacentral:rRNA from 1 species